rnacentral:rRNA from 1 species
GACGUAGGAUGCAAGCGUUGUCCGGAUUUAUUGGGCGUAAAGAGUUCGUAGGCGGUUUGUUAAGUCUGAUGUUAAAGACUGGGGCUCAACCCUGGGAGUGCAUUGGAUACUGGCAGACUCGAGUGCAGUAGAGGCAAGCGGAAUUCCCAGUGGUAGCGGUGAAAUGCGUAGAUAUUGGGAAGAACACCGGUGGCGAAGGCGGCUUUCUGGCCUGCUCUUGACGCUGAGGCGCGAAAGCUAGGGUAGCAAACGGG